UGGUAUCGUCUAGCACAGAUGGUGGUUCCAUCAGUACCCUGAAAACCUAGGAUAAGACUUUUUCUGGCUCCAUUUUUUAAGUCAUUUUGGGUCUAUAAAUGUCCUAGUUAUUUUUGCUUGAGUAAGCAAGAAAAAGAGUAGAAAUGAGAAAAGAAUACUUGAGAUAAAAGUGUGUAAACUUUGUUAAAAAGUUGAGUUUCAUUCUCUUUGAACUUAGAGAUUAUUCUAAGGGAGUUGUGUGAGGGUUACCUUAUAAAAGAGGGGUAUAAAGAUUUUCUUCAAAAGAAGAAAGAGUUAUAACGGGUGUAGUUGGUCUUCGCUCGUUGAAAAAAGAUUAUUAGUGAACACCGGUAGCCUCGACGGAAGAGAAAUCGAGAGUGGAUGUAAGUUGGGAUGACCGAACCACUAUAAAAUCGAUUUGUAUUUACUUUAUGCUCUUCAUUGCUAUUGUUUUUUGCUAUUGUUUUAUGAUUUAAUUGCUUAUUACACUUACUCUAAGUCAAGCACAAUAUCAAUAUUAGUUUUUAUCGAACAAAAAUUUUAAACCUAGAUUUUUAUGAAAUUACUAAUUCACACACACACAAAUAUAUAUAGGUAAAUUUUUGAAAUUUUUUAUUUUUUAGAAACGCUCUUUAUUUUUAAAAUUCUCUACUCAUUUUUAUCUAAUAUCUAAAAUAUUAUUUUUUUUAAAAUAGAUCGGCUCAAUUAUAAUAUUUUUAUAUUGUAUUAUGAUGUUUUUAAUUAUAUUAAAAAAUAUUAACUCAUUAUGUUCAUAGAAUUUUCACACUGCAUUACUAUGUUUGUAAUAAUACUAGCAAAACACUAUAAUAGUGUGAAUAUUAUAUUUAAUAAUAAUAGAAAAUAUUAUGACAUAAUAUAAAAAUACUGUAAUAUAGAAUUUUCGUUCACUGUAAUAGUUCACAUUUAAAAAAGAAAGAAAAAAAGAGAUAAAUGAAGGAAAUUGGGGGAACUCAAAUGUAAGCUGUGCAUGAUUGAUGGAAAUGAAGACUAACACGAUGUUACUUCGUCAUUCUUUUAUCCUUCUGCUUGAAGUGGUGAGUACAAAGAUUGGCCGCGAUAGAAAGAUGACAUGACUGAUCAAACUUGUUAUGAUUGCCUUCUCGACAUGGCAAAAUUAUUUCUUUAAUACACAAGUAGUAAGAUUCAUAUCUUAGCGAAGUCUUGUGCAUCGAAUAUGAUAAUGUCCAUAAUAAAUUACUUUGCAAUAUGGAGUAACAAGAUUUUGAGGCAUGAAAUCUACUCUCAUUUAGAGAUAUAAUCAACUCUAAAUUUUGUAUUGAUGGUAAUCUUAUUUACUAUAUUUUUAUUUUAUAAAAAAUCAUGAAAAUUUUAUUAUCUUCCGAAUCUUUUAGAUUAUAUUCCUCAUUUUCAAAGUGCACAAAGAAAGCUCAUUUUUUUAAGAUGAUAAAAAUGUUUUCACUUAUUAUUGAUAACUUUAAUUUUUAAGUUUUUCAACUGAUAAGGAAUUUAUUAACGGUUGACAUAUGAUCGUCAUGCAAGAUUCAUGUAAUCCGCUUAUAGAAGAUUAUAAUAUAAAAAUAUAAGCUUUCUUCUUGUUCAUUAUAAUAAGAAAGAGAAAUGUAAAUGCUCUAUCCUUCUAUAAUAAGAAUAGUAAUCCUAAACUCCAUUCGCUUCCGAAGAUAUAAAAAUAUAUCAUAAAUAGAAAAAAGAUAACUUCUCGAGGAAAACUAUGGAUUGGGUUGAAAAACCCUACCCGACCUUGAUUGUUGUGCAUAUAUGAGUAUAAUAAUUCAAGCGUAAUAAUUUUAUCUUAGAUCUACCUUUAAGUUACGCUCAAAACCACCUCAAAUUCACCUCAAUAUUUUCACAUCAAAAAGACUAUGAACAUUCCUACAACUGAUAAGUCUAUACCACUAAUAAAAACAUCAAUUACAUUUUCCUUUAACACCAACCAAACUCAUUUAAAUUGAACUAUCAAACCAACUUGGUAUUAAAACGUAUUGCUUAUAGUAUUUUGAAUAUAAUUAGUGUUUUUGGUUUAAACGAAUCAAUUUAUUUUUUUAAAUAGGGUUAUAGUGUUUUUUUAUGAUUGAACUUUACUCAUCAUAAUCAUAUUAAAAAUAUAUAUAUAACUCAGUCUUAGUUAAUUCAAAAUUUCACAAAUAUCGAUUAUUAAUUUUAUUAUAUUUAUUAAAAGUAGCAUAAAAUUUUAGAGUUCUUAAAUAUUUUUGAAUGAAAAAUUACAAUAUUUUGACAUAUUUCAAAAAAUGAUAAAUUUUUAUUUUUUUAUGUAACCUUAAAUUUAAGUCUAUAAUUUUUAAAAUAUUUUAGAUUGCUUACUUCAUUUAUUAAAAAAUAAUAACAGAAAAAUCACAUUUAGAAUGCUUUUGAAUGCACUUACAUUGUUUUUGUCACUGUAUUGAGAUAAUAUAACUCUAAUAAAAGUCGCUGUAAUUAAUUUUCAAUUAUUUGAAGUUUUCACUAACAAUAUAUAUUAGCUUUAUUGUAUGUUUAAAGGUGUUAUAAAAUUAUUAAUAUAAAAAUUUAAAUGAUUUUGGAUGAAAAUUAAAAUAGUCUCGACAUUUUUCUCUUUUUCUUAAAUUAAGGUCUUGAAAAUUAAGAAUUCUAUUUUCCCCACUUAUUCUUAAAUUUAGGUCUAAAUAUUAAAAAAUAUAUUAUAAUAUAUAGAGUCAUUAUAAUGAAUGAAUAAUAAUAAUAAAUGAGUUAUUAUUCAAUUAUAGUAUUUUUGAUUCAGUAAUAAAAAAUAUUAUAUUAACUGAACCUUUUUCAGGUUUCUCGGUAUUCGAGCCCGAUCCGACCCGAGCCGUUGACCGAACCCGGUCUGGUUCAUAACUUGCCCGAGUCGGACCGAGUUCUCUGCUUCUUGGUUGCCUGGUAUACGUGGAGCCACAGAAAUGGAAUACGAGGGUGAAGGAGAGGGGGAAGGGAAGCGAAGCCAAAUCGAGCGGCGACUGGAAUCGUUCUCACGGGAACAAAAGGAUGGAGGGAAAAGGAGAGGCGAAAAGUAACAGAAGGGAGCCCAUCAAGAGGCGGCACGGCUCCACUGCCUUCUUCGUGCUGCUGGAUUGCCUCUUCCUCCUCAUCUUCUUCUGCUUCCUCUGCUACUUCCUCCUCAAGAUCUGGCCCGGAUCAAAGCCCUAACCCCAACGAAAGGACCCGCAUUUUGUUGAUCCUGAAACCAAUCUAUUCUAUUCUAUUCUAUUCAUUCUAACGUCGGUAAUCUCAUUUUAUCCCCGAUGUUUUUGUUUCAAGUAUUAAAUUCGUACCACGGCAAUCAUCUUACGAUCUGUUCCAGAAAAAAAUUGCUUUUAAUUUCCCUUUUAUUGUUUGUUGGUUUGAAGCCGUUGUUGCUUUGAAAUCUGGCUGCCAGUUUAUACUAUAUGAUUUUUAUUGCAGAGGAUUGCUUGGAUGCAUUGUUCAUAUUACUGCUAAUUUCUGUGGGACUGUGGCUGUUUGGUUCACCAACUGUUUAUGUGAAAUAAUUCUUCAUCCAUCUUUGCCAUGAUAUGAAAAUGAGUGAAAGGAAUUAUAUGAAGAUUUAUGCUUUUCGUAUUUGCUCAUCUUCAUGUUAAAGGUUACGUGACUUUUGAUCUAGUGUGAGGGAGAUAUAAGCAUCCGUAUCAUAUGACAUCAUUGGGAACUUAAGCAUGUAGUUCUUGAUUCGGUAUAAUCUGCUGUGUCAUUUUUGAAACUUAGGCAUCACAAUUGGAUCUGAUUGUAAGAUCUUAUUUUGACUAUUGUUUUCUACAAGGAAAAGAAAGGACGAUGCUAGGGUACAUAGAGUUGAAAUUUCAUCCUGUCAUUCCUGAUGAAUGUGGUAUUAAGAUCAAGUUAUUUCUCCUUCAAAAGUGAGGACCAAAGGAUGAGGGCACUUUACUGCAAUUGAUAUUACCAGGAGCUUUUAACAACUGCACCUAAUAUAAUGAUUUUAGAUUCGAAUGAUUGGAUUAUUUUCUAGAUGAGUGGUGGUUCGCAUCAGAUGAUUCACCAUCUGAUUCACAGGAGGAAAAAAGAAUUGUUACUGCCCUCUUUCUCUAUCAUGAUCGAUAUGUUUCAGCAAUAUGGUUUUAUUAGGAAGAUAAGUUUGAAUGUGAAUAUUUGAGCUUUUCACCAAAUCAUCCAAAGCUAAGGAGCAGAGUCUUUGGUGCGGGGAAGAUGUUCUAAGUUGAAUGGUAGAGACCUUUACAGCUGCUAAAGAUGAAAUGGAGUGCUUGAAUCCAUUUGUAGGACUGCUUACGCAGAGGAAUACGGACAUUGGUUGAUGCCUUUAGAAUAAAGAUGUGAAUGAAGUUGCAUCAAAGCAUAUGCUGUAAAAGCAGCAUGAUCUGAUCAUGUAACUUAUGACCAGAGAAUUAAGAUCUUAAUACCAAAUUCUAGUGCUUUGUUUUCUGGCUCAACAGAGAAGUGCAAUAAAAGAAACGAUGACAAAGAAUAAUACUACUCUGUCCGUCCAUAAAUUUUUGGCUCAUCCAUCUGCAAUUGCUAAAAAAGAAUUAACUUUUUUCUUUGUUUUGUUGGUUGUCAAGUGUAGAAGAUCAAGAAUUCAGAUGCUGGAGUAACAAUCUGCAGUCUGCAGGUCUUGUCAUUUAAAUCAUGGAUUGAAAAUAAGACAUUAUAUGUGGGUGACGCAAAAUAGAAUGCCAUUUCAUGUGGCUUCGCGUAUCAGUGCUCAAUCCAAAUUAUCACGUUGCAGGACUCGAAAGUUCAUUAGGUUUAGGGUUUACCGUCUCCGUCGUCGCUCGACCAUCCACAGAGACCGAGGCGCCGGCGGUCGAAGCACCGGAGGUGAAGAGUUGAAGGCAGCUGUUCCUGCCGUCAUCGCCGCAGAGGAGGUCUUAAUCUGGGCCGUCCCGGAGGAGCCAAACUGUCCACUUCAAGUUCCUCCGCGCCCGGGACUUCAAGGUGAAGGAAACCAUGACCAUGCUCAAGAACGCUCUGCUCUGGAGGAAGGAGUUCGGCGUCGGGAGCCUACUUCUCGGGGUCCCCGAGCUCAGCGACGACGUCGCUCUUGGCCACCGCCGCCUCCUGCGCGGCGACCUUCUCCUCUCCGGCCUCCGCCGCGGACUCGGCGGCCAGCGGCUCUCCCAAAGCUGGCUUCUUUGUUGUUUUCUGCGCCUAAGGGACAGGAUCGGUCGGCGGAAGCCGUUCGUCGAUUCUUUCUCCGUCGCCGCCGGCUCCGUUUCGGCGGGGUCCCCUUCUGGUGUGUCGGGUUUGGUGUCCAAGGCCAUGGUCUUGGGUUGGGUCAGGUGAGAGAGAGAGAGAGACGCCCAGCCCAUCCUCUCGUAAUCCCACGUUAAGCACGAGAGUCGCACGUGUCCUUCCCCGACCCCUAAUUCCUUCAAACCGGUUCUCUCGACCUCCACUCCCCGCCGGAGUCGCCGCCGCUCCUCCGCCGGUGUGCCACCACGCUGGAGAACAUAGCGAACCCGAUGAGCGCCGGAGCUCCGCUGGGUUCCGCCUUCCCGCGUCGGCAUCAGACCUAAGAGAAAGCCCGCACUGGUCUUGGUCCUCUCUACCUUUCUCACUUUCUAAUUUCUUCUCCCAUGAUAUUCUUCUCUUUUUCUAGUUCGUGUUCUUUGAUUUGGUAUAGACGAUAUAUAUGAAGACACUCGGGAGUUCCCACAACAAGGUAAGAUUUUUCAUGUGCCUUAGGUUUUUGACCUUUUCUCAUUAAAACAGAUGCAAGAGAUGCCAAAGAAGUAGAAUUUGGGAGCUAAUUGUCAAAAUCCCGUAUUUAUGGAACUUAGGUACUUGUUUGAUUUUAUUAUUUUUAUCAGUGAAAUGAUUAGGAAAUUCCGUGAUAAAGGUAAAUAGAAAACAGGUCUUGAAUUCCAUGUUCUUAUGAGAGCGUCGCUUGGUUUCUUUUGUGCUCAUUACAUUCAUCUUGGAUAAAUUGAACUUCUUGCGAAGCUAUUUUGACUGCCAUAUCAAGUCUAGCAUCUUAUUUAAUUUUUUCAUCAUAAACUUGAUUUGUGAUCUACUUGUUAGUAUAACGAAUUGAUAUAUAUGCUUUUAAUUUUCCUUAUGUUCUGUCCUGAUGACCAUCAAGUGAUUAUUUGUUCAACCCGUUCCUAUAGCUUGAGCUAACAAGCUUCAUUUAACAUUAAAAAAAUCCAUGUUUGUUGACACAAGAAUCACUGUUAUCAUGAUUCAAGUCAUCGUAUCACAUCAAGAUCUUCUUCAGGGGCAAUAGCACAGGAACCGGAUGUCUAGAUGAUGGUGACCUUCACCAACUUGCCCACUUUCUUUUUAUCACUUGGCUGUCUAAUCCAUCAAGAGAAUUGACUUUACAUGGGUUAAUCGAAUUAGCCUACUUGAUUUAGCUCAAUGCUGUCUGAUUCAAACUUAAGUAUAAAUCCAAUUAUCCUUUAGUACAAGCCGCCAUAUCCCAUUUAAUAAAAUGGGUACGGUAGUGUCUAAAUGAGACCCCUUAUAGUAUUUAGUGGACAUUUGCCCAGGGUUUGUUUGAAUACCUUGGUAAGUUAUGUGUGGCCACCCUUGUGCAAGCCUUGAGACCAACUCCUAACUCCUAAUUACAUUGAACUAAGUCAGAUGAUCUUGGUAACUGAUACCAGUACAGCUAUAGUGUUCGUUCCAAAACUGAUCACAAGGGCAACCUAUUGAAUCAGCAGGAUAUGCUUCCUGGAGAAAUUAGUUUCCAUCUAUGCAAACAUGUAUCUUGACUUAGACCAAACAGUAAGACUUAUCGUCCAUUUAGACUACUGUAGUAGGUAUGUCACUUGUACUUUUUGUUUCAUGCUGAACACAAUAUGUCUAGACGGCAGAUACACAAUUGAGAGUUGCUACUUGAAACAUGAUCAGGUAUCCAUCAAAUCUCAGAAAAGUUGAUGAAUUUUAAGCUUGAAAUUGUCUUCUAUGAUGCAUUGUCUGUUCAAUUCAGCCCUUAAAAAUUAGUAGUAAAUUAGUUGCCUUGGAUUGAAUUCUGCUAAGUGGAAUUGUUCUGAGCUUUUUUUCACCAGUGUAAUUUUGCUGUCGUGACAAAAGGUUUUCUAAGGAGUACAGUUUUCUUCCCGCUGGAGCAGAAAUCCUUGUUGCAGCUUCUGUCAUUGUAUUUAUUAUAUGGCUUUAUGCUUUGUUACAUUGAUCUUUCCAAAUGCCACUUGAUUCUCCUUUGAUCUAGAAAAUAUCAAUCACUUGAGAAAAAAAGAGGAUUAUAUUUGCAGCUUCCAACUUGUUGUGGAUGUGGCAAGAAAAUAUGAUGUGUUGCCAUUUGCAUAUAUUGGAAUGGUUUUUUUAUUUUUUACUUGUUUCCAUAAGACAUUUGUCUACAAGAGUUAACUGCUCUUUUUUUUUCGUAAUAAUAGUUCCAAAAACAAAAAGAAGUCAGAAGAGCUGUUUGACAAUAGAACCCCAGAAACAACUUCCUUAGUCAGACAAUAAAUUAAAACCUAAAAGAAGUGCAGGAAAUGAGGCAAUUUAGAGAGCUUUUGUAUAUUGAAGUAGGUGCAUAUGUUUCUGGCAGAAAUAAUAUAGCAAAGUGAGACAUUAUCUGCUGUUUGUUGUAUAGGACAAAUUGGUAUUCCAAAGAUAUAGUCAAGCAGACCAUAUUAUCUACAUGCUAUCAUAUAGCAGAAGACUAAAAGAAGGCCAUGCCUCAUACAAGUCCCCUUUAAACUUCUAGACACUAUCCUCAAGUCUAUAAGAGAGCAUAGUUUUAUUGUCAUGACUUGAGUUCAAUAACCAUGUCUGCUAAGAGCCCCAAAAAAUAUUUAAAGUCAUUCUUUACAGUGGAUAGUGACUCAGAUACUUGUUGAAACCUUGUCCACUGAUCUCAUCCAAGGUAUUACAAAUCCAAACUAUAGUUUUGUAUUUUUCUUUAUAUAUAUAGGGCUAUCACAGAUGCAUCACUUUAUGCAUUGUAAUAGCCAUCCACUUCAAGUUGCAUCACUCCAUGCUUGUGUGUUGUUGCACUUCUAGAAGCUGAGCCACCUCCUCCACACACCCACACCCC
rnacentral:lncRNA from 1 species